GGCCUGCUGGGGGGAGAUGAAGUGGACGUGACCGUCGAUUCCGGCGGCGGUCAGAAUCAGGUGCUCGCCGGAAAUCGCGUCGGUCGAUGGGCCGGUGCAGAGGGUGGGUGUCACGCCCUGCAUCGUGUUGGGGUUACCGGCUUUGCCGAUACCGGCGAUUUUGCCGCCCUUGACCCCGACAUCGGCCUUGAUUACGCCUAACAGCGGGUCGAGGAUGGUCACGUUGGUGAUUACGAGGUCGAGCGAACCGGCGUCGGAGGUGAUGGUGUUGGCCGUACCCAUGCCGUCGCG
rnacentral:sRNA from 1 species